CGCGCAGUAGGUGGAGGGACCGAGCAAAGCCGCCGGCCGGGAGCGGAGAGUCGGACCAGUGUGUUGUGGGCAUACAGCAAGCGCGCCUAGGCGGGGCUGGUGGCUUUGAGCUGGGACUGCUUAAGAGUCAGUUUUUAGUGAAAAAACAUUGGGCUAGGACCAAGACCCAUCUCUUCACUAAUCUGACAUUGUGCGAGUUCUCCAACUUCUCUGGAUCUCAGUUGUCUCAUCUGUAAAGAAGAGAUAAAUAUUCUUUACCAGUCUGAAGAUGAGGUGGAAGACCGUCCUACUACAAUAUUUUCUCUUGGUUACAUGUCUGCUUACUGCUUUUGAAGCUGUGCCUAUAGACAUAGACAAGACAAAAGUAAAAAAUACUGAACCUGUGGAAAGUGCAAAAAUAGAACCACCAGAUACUGGACUUUAUUAUGAUGAAUAUCUCAAGCAAGUGAUUGAUGUGCUGGAGACAGAUAACCAUUUCAGAGAAAAGCUCCAGAAAGCAGACAUAGAGGAAAUAAAGAGUGGAAAGCUAAGCAAAGAGCUGGAUUUAGUAAGUCACCAUGUGAGGACAAAACUAGAUGAACUGAAAAGGCAAGAAGUAGCAAGGUUAAGAAUGCUAAUUAAAGCUAAGAUGGAUUCCCUUCAAGAUACAGGCAUAGACCACCAAGCUCUUCUAAAACAGUUUGAUCACCUAAACCACAUGAAUCCUGACACGUUUGAAUCCACAGAUUUAGAUAUGCUAAUCAAAGCGGCUACAAGUGAUCUGGAACACUAUGACAAGGCUCGACAUGAAGAAUUUAAAAAAUAUGAAAUGUUGAAGGAACAUGAAAGGAGAGAAUAUUUAAAAACACUGAAUGAAGAAAAGAGAAAAGAAGCAGAAUCUAAAUUUGAAGAAAUGAAGAAAAAGCAUGAAGAUCAUCCCAAAAUUAACCAUCCAGGAAGCAAAGAUCAACUGAAAGAGGUAUGGGAAGAGGCUGAUGGAUUGGAUCCUAAUGACUUUGACCUCAAGACAUUUUUCAAAUUACAUGAUGUCAAUAAUGAUGGCUUCCUGGAUGAACAAGAAUUAGAAGCCCUCUUUACUAAAGAGUUGGAGAAAGUAUAUGACCCCAAAAAUGAAGAGGAUGAUAUGAUAGAAAUGGAGGAAGAAAGACUUAGAAUGAGGGAACAUGUAAUGAAUGAGAUUGAUGCUAACAAAGACCGAUUGGUGACUCUGGAAGAGUUUUUAAAAGCUACAGAAAAAAAGGAAUUCUUGGAGCCAGAUAGCUGGGAGACAUUGGAUCAGCAACAGUUGUUCACAGAGGAAGAACUGAAAGAAUAUGAAAAUCAUAUCUCUUUACAAGAAAACGAACUUCAGAAGAAGGCAGAUGAGCUUCAGAAACAAAAAGAAGAGCUUCAACGUCAGCACGACCAACUCCAGGCUCAGAAGAUGGAAUAUCAUCAGGCCGUACAGCAGAUGGAACAAAAAAAAUUACAACAGGGAAUUCCUCCAUCGGGGCCAGCUGGAGAGUUGAAAUUCCAGCCACACGUUUAAAGUCGGAAGUCCACCAGAACCUGGAAGAAAACCAUUAACUCAGCAUCUGUUUCGUCUUUUUACCUCCUUUUCUUUUUCUCUGCUCAGUAAAUAUCUUAAAAUAUAUUUCGAAUAAAUAAAGAUACCUUUAAAAUGAGAACACGUUUUUUUUUGGACGCAGAUAUUUAAGGACUGAAAUCUGCCAGAACAAGGAAGGAAACUUAACUCAGUAUCUGCACUCACCUUCAUACCUUCCUUCUUUUUCUUUGCUGUCCUUCAAUGAUUGAAUUAAGUGGCCCUACAGUAUAAUUUAAUGAAUCUAUCAGUAAUUAUUUGAGUGAGAAUCUCUGCCUGUUGCUUUUAAAAUAAAUUGGUCUCCUUUUACUCAUGAAGAUAGAUACUCUUUCAUGGGUACAUGUCAUCCUCUCUCUCAAAACAAAAAUUACUUCAAUAUUAACAAUUCUUCUCCUAAGAAGUCUAUAGUAUUCCCAGUAUUUCCUGGUAACUUUUUCCUGCUUUCAACAACCUUAACUGUCUAAAAAUUCUUCAACUGAAUGGCUUUUAUUACUGCUUGAGAUCAUUUUUCCUUCAUAUUUUUGCUUUAUUACUUGAUCAUUUAAGAUUAGGUUUAGCUACAUAUAACAUAAAAACCAAAGAUAAUAGUGGUUUAAACUAAAUAGGAGUUUUUCUGUCUUACUUAAAAGAAAUUCUAGAAGUAUGUAGUGUCCAGAUUCCUAUCUUUCUGCUCUGCUAUCCUCAGUGUAUGUUUUUUAUUCUCAAAGUACCUCACUGUCCAAGACUGCUGCUCAAGGUAAUGGGGAAGGGCAAGAAAAGGGAGUUUCUCCAGUUGAAGCGGCUUCCUUUUAGGCAAUUUCCAAGAGACUAUACAACACUUAAACUUACAUCUCAUUGGUCAGAACUGAGUCACAGGGCCACGCCUAACUGCAGAGUAGGCUGAGAAAUCCAUGUGUUAAUAACACCGGCUAAAAGUUGUUGUUAGGUGCCAUAGAGUCGAUUUUGACUCAUAGUGACCCCAAGUGACAAAGUAGAACUGUCCCAUAGGAUUUUCUUGGCUGUAAUUUUUAUAGAGUGCCAGGUCUUUCUCCCUUGGAGAUACUGGGUGGGUUCAUACCACCAACCUUUAGGUUAGCAGCUGAGUGCUUAGCUGUUUGUGCCACCAGGGCUCCUUUAUGAUUCUGUAAAUAAGAAGGGAAAAAGGAAUGUUUGAUAAGCAACUUUGGGUUUUAACCCCAAUCAGCUUUCUUGACUACCUAAGCCUCUAGGUCCAUACUUCUGAAACACAGAAAAUACUCAUUCCACACCCUCCCCACUCCAAAGGAAACAAUCCAAUUUAUUAUCACAUACAGCUCAAAGAUCAUGAUAUCUGGGUGUAUUCUCCUCCAUCUUGUUAGGAUGUGUUUCCUUGUGUUCUGGCCAUCUACAAACUAAAAGACAGUAUUUCUGUCCCAAGAGUACCAUAUGCAUAAUGGUGCUAUAAAUGUAGGGUAACUACAAUAAAAUCUACCUUUUAUAAAAGGGAAGAAGGAGAAAUAUAGCUAUCACUGAUCCAUAGCAAUUAAAUACUGCUUGACAAAAAUAGCAAGGACUUUCUGCUCUUUCCAUGAAUAUAUAUUCCUUGGUUUACCCAUAAGACAAUCCAUGAUUCAGCUUUCUGGAAAUAACACCUUUGUCUAACGUUCUCAGGGGACUUUAGCUUUGCCCUAGAGGAAGUUUUUAUUGUUCAUUAAUUUUCAGUGGAAAAUAUACCCUUCCAGGAGGCUCUGCAGCUUUAGCAGUUCACUUACUGUUUGUAUGGGUUUGAGGGCUCAGGGAUUAUUUUAGAUAGUUAACAGUCACAAACUGUUGCAGGUCAGGUUUGGAGUUUUUGUUUUUGUUUUGUUUUUUGACAAAAUGACUUCCUAAAAACUUAGUGUAAGUUUCUAGUCUGUUUUCUUCAAUCAUUUCUGUCAGUAACCAUAAUCAAAGAACUUGCCAAGAUAAUAGCUUUCAACACGGAAGAACCUCAUCUUUUAUUUGGCAGCCUCUUUGCUCUCCCCUCCCCUUGGGUCUUAAAUGAAUGAUACCUAAUUGAGACCAUUUUAAACUAUAGGCUUGGAUGAGAUGGCCACAGUCUUAAUCUAAUUUUUUUCCCUAGGAUGGCUGCUAUUACUUAGCAGAAAGAUUCUUAAGGGAAGGUUCUUGAAAAAAAGUUGAAGAAGCUACUAAAGCUACUUUCUUAGAAUCUUAUGAAAACUGUUUCAGUCUGAAGUACAGAAGUAGUUGACUUUUUCAGUUCUUCAGGACUCCAGAUCUGGGACUCUUGUCAAUUUAUAUUAUAAACAGACAGCAAUUCUCUCAGCAAAGCUAUAUUCUCUUGCAUCUCUGCAGACUUGUUAACUUAGCCUGAGUCACAUCUCUCUUCUAGGACUUUGCUGAAAAAGGCAAGAAGCAGCCAACACAUGCUAGCAUUCUGAAGUUCUACCACCACUUUCUCUAACACCUGAAUUUCAGUUAGCAUGAAGUCUCACUGUCCAAAGCCCUACCUCCUCAACUAAGCCAACUCCAUAUUUAAGAUUCUUUCACUUGCUCUGUACCCUACUUCUAGCUACCAAAAAUUCUGUGUAGGUUAAGAUUCUUGGUUGUAGGCAAUGAAAUUAUCUUUAGCUAUUAAACAGAAAGGGAUUUACUGAGAGGUAUACAUAGCUCACAGAAUCUUUGGGAGGGCUGAAGAAACAGGGCUGAGCUUCUUGGAACCACAUCACAAGAAUGGACUGCCAAAGGAGCUGCUGCUUCUGGACCAGUCAAGAAGCUGCCUUCCAGAUCAGGAAGCUGCCUGUUGGAUUAGGAAGCUGUGAACAGUUGCCAGCUCCAGAGCUACAGCACCACUGCCACCCUUUGUGUCAGCAAAAUUGGAUACCUCAUGUCCUGCCUCUCGCCCCAUGUAACUCAAUUCUGAGUAAAAGUCUCAACUGUGCAGUACAAUCAAGAAGAAAUAGAAAAAGAGCCAGAGUUAGAUGAUGAACUUCAUCGUUUC